GGUAACAAUGGCGUUCUCUGCAACUCUUCGAUGUUCAUCUUCUCUACACCGCCCUUCGAAGAAUUCAACAAUUUCAAGCGUUUUGCCUCAAUCAUCUUCUUCAAUCUCCUUUCGAUCUUCGCCUUCGUUUUUUAAUCGCAAAAAAUCAUUGUCUAUUCGAUCUGCUACACUUGAAGCAGCACCUGCAUCUGGAGGAGUAGCACCUGCAAUUUCCUUAACUGACAAUGCAUUAAUGCACUUGAAUAAAAUGAGGAGUGAUCGGAAUGAGGACUUGUGUCUUAGAAUUGGCGUUAAACAAGGGGGAUGCUCGGGAAUGUCAUACACUAUGGAGUUUGAAAAGCGAGAAAAUGCUAGACCAGACGAUUCAAUCAUCGAGUACAAUGGAUUUGUUAUUGUUUGUGAUCCAAAAAGCCUUCUCUUCAUCUUCGGAAUGCAACUGGACUACAGCGAUGCAUUGAUAGGCGGGGGCUUCUCUUUCAAAAAUCCAAACGCUACGCAAACUUGUGGUUGUGGAAAAUCGUUUACUGCUGAGAUGUAAGAGCAUGCAGUCUUAGAAAUGUACUACAAAAUUAACAUACUAGAACACCAACUGUGGUUUGCUUGGUUCUCUGAAUAUAGACAGAGACAGUAAUGAAGAUCUGUUAACUCAUAUUAUGUGCAUAAGGGACUGUAACGUUUAAAUAUGUGUAACUGGGAAUGCAUUAUAUUCUUCCUGCACAAAAUACAAAACAUCUAUGCCAUGUCGUUUUAUGCUUCGUGAGGCAGAGCCGCAAUGUAACGUGUGGGUUCAUGUAAACUCAAUAGUUUUGUGUUGGAUCUUGUAUAUGUAUUUUUAAAAUAUUAUUAAAUUUAUGAAAGAUUGUGAACUCG
rnacentral:misc_RNA from 1 species